rnacentral:rRNA from 1 species
GUUAUUAGUUGCCAGCAUUUAGUUGGGCACUCUAAUGAGACUGCCGGUGAUAAACCGGAGGAAGGUGGGGACGACGUCAGAUCAUCAUGCCCCUUAUGACCUGGGCAACACACGUGCUACAAUGGGAAGUACAACGAGUCGCAAACCGGCGACGGUAAGCUAAUCUCUUAAAACUUCUCUCAGUUCGGACUGGAGUCUGCAACUCGACUCCACGAAGGCGGAAUCGCUAGUAAUCGCGAAUCAGCAUGUCGCGGUGAAUACGUUCCCGGGUCUUGUACACACCGCCCGUCAAAUCAUGGGAGUCGGAAGUACCCAAAGUCGCUUGGCUAACUUUUAGAGGCCGGUGCCUAAGGUAAAAUCGAUGACUGGGAUUAAGUCGUAACAAGGUAGCCGUAGGAGAACCUGCGGCUGGAUCACCUCCUUUCUAAGGA